UACGUAGGGGGCUAGCGUUGUCCGGAAUCAUUGGGCGUAAAGCGCGUGUAGGCGGCCCGGUAAGUCCGCUCUGAAAGUCGGGGGCUCAACCCUCGGAUGCGGGUGGAUACUGUCGGGCUUGAGUGCGGAAGAGGCGAGUGGAAUUCCUGGUGUAGCGGUGAAAUGCGCAGAUAUCAGGAGGAACACCAAUUGCGAAGGCAGCUCGCUGGGACGUUACUGACGCUGAGACGCGAAAGCGUGGGGAGCAAACAGG
rnacentral:rRNA from 1 species